GAAAUAUCAUUUGUAAAAUCACAAGUUUCGAAUAUUUUGCUUUACUACUUUAUUAUUGUAAAGAUACCUCCUUGGGAGUGAGAUUACCUUAGUUACCUAAAAAGAGAGUGAAUCAGUAGUCGACUUUUAUUAUUGUCGGCGUCUUUGUGUCCCCUUUUAAUUUUAAAUAUAUAUUUAACGUUUAAUUAUUUGCCAUAUCAUUUUUGUGCAAUUCAAUUAGCUUCUUCUGCACAUUUAUUUUUGUCAAAAUCUCCAGAUUUCAGUUCUUAACCUUAAAACAGUUGCUUGUUCAGCUUAAUCAAAUUGCAGAAAUUAAAUAACAUGGGAAAAGAUGCUGAAGAACAACUAAGCCUAAACGAAGAUUCCAAGGAUGGUGAAGUUAUAGAAUCUUUGUUAUCCCCUAUACCAAGAUCACCAAUUAAUAGCAGACCAAAUAGCAUGGUGAUUAAG